ensembl:snRNA U6 U6 spliceosomal RNA
GUGCUCACUUUGGCAGCACAUAUAUUAAAACUGGAGCCAUACAAGAGAAGAUUAGCAUGGCCCCUGGGCAAGGAUGACAUGCAAAUUUGUGAAGCAUUCUUUUUU